UACGUAGGGGGCAAGCGUUGUCCGGAAUCAUUGGGCGUAAAGAGCGUGUAGGCGGCUUGGUAAGUCCGCUGUGAAAGUCCAGGGCUCAACCCUGGAAAGCCGGUGGAAACUGUCAAGCUUGAGUCCGGAAGAGGCGAGUGGAAUUCCUGGUGUAGCGGUGAAAUGCGCAGAUAUCAGGAGGAACACCAAUGGCGAAGGCAGCUCGCUGGGACGGUAACUGACGCUGGAGACGCGAAAGCGUGGGGAGCAAACA
rnacentral:rRNA from 1 species